CAUUAGGCCUUAUUAAAGGCCACAACUCAGUUAAAUUUGUUUAGAG
rfam:Charadrius vociferus contig13733, whole genome shotgun sequence.